UUUCUCAAAUAAUCCAUCAAAAUCAUUUAAUUCUUAUUAAAUUCCAGAAAAUUAUAGGGUCACACAAAUGCAAUAAAGAUGAUAAUAAGUAUGUUAUAUGAAUUUGAAUUACAAAGGGCACUAGAAAAAUGAAGAUAACGUAGGACACCAAAAACUAAUUCAAGCAUAAUUAUGUACAGAGUUUUGACUAAAAAAAUCAUGUACAAAAUAUGGUCAGAACGAAUAGAUAUAAGAAGAAUGGACAUCCCUGAUCCUUAGUUACACGGUGGAAACCUAGCAAUGGUUUGAAUUCAUCGUCUUUUUUUAAUAAAGGUCCAUUCUUUGGGAAAUUGGGACUUAAUUUAGUCUUCGAUGACCAUCCCUGCACUUGGCCUCCUUCUUACAACCUCUGUCAUAAGAGUUGCUUGGCGGAGGCAUGCAACGUGACCCCCAACAACGAACUGGUUGGUCGCGCCGCAUGACGCCAUAAUCGAUUUGAUUGGCAUUCGUUGUUGCAACGCAAAGCGAAAACACCAAGAGAGCAACAAUGCAGAAAGAAAAUGCCUUGGACAUGGCCUCUUUUUCUUCAAAACAAAUGGAUCUAGCUAGUACUUGAGUACGUAGGAGUCAGAUAAAGAAAUGUAUGGGAGAUAUAUUAUGGAGAAAGACAUUGCCAUUUAUAUUUACAUUGUUGGCCUCAAAUUAGUAGGAACUCAUGCUGAUCC
rnacentral:lncRNA from 1 species